rnacentral:rRNA from 1 species
GAUGAACGCUGGCGGCGUGCUUAACACAUGCAAGUCGAACGAGAAAUGUAGACGGAAACCUUCGGGCGGAAGCCUUCAUUUCGAGUGGCGGACGGGUGAGUAACGCGUGGGUAACCUGCCUCAUACAGGGGGAUAACAGUUGGAAACGACUGUUAAUACCGCAUAAGACCACAGCAUCGCAUGAUGCGGGGGUAAAAACUCCGGUGGUAUGAGAUGGACCCGCGUUCGAUUAGCCAGUUGGCGGGGUAACGGCCCACCAAAGCGACGAUCGAUAGCCGAUCUGAGAGGAUGACCGGCCAUAUUGGGACUGAGACACGGCCCAAACUCCUACGGGAGGCAGCAGUGGGGAAUAUUGCACAAUGGGGGAAACCCUGAUGCAGCGACGCCGCGUGAGUGAAGAAGUACUUCGGUAUGUAAAGCUCUAUCAGCAGGGAAGAAAAUGACGGUACCUGAGUAAGAAGCCCCGGCUAACUACGUG